rnacentral:rRNA from 1 species
UACGGAGGAUGCGAGCGUUAUCCGGAUUUAUUGGGUUUAAAGGGUGCGUAGGCGGGCUGUUAAGUCAGCGGUCAAAUGUCGGGGCUCAACCCCGGCCUGCCGUUGAAACUGGCGGCCUCGAGUGGGCGAGAAGUAUGCGGAAUGCGUGGUGUAGCGGUGAAAUGCAUAGAUAUCACGCAGAACUCCGAUUGCGAAGGCAGCAUACCGGCGCCCGACUGACGCUGAGGCACGAAAGCGCGGGUAUCGAACAGG